rnacentral:rRNA from 1 species
CUCAUUAGUAUUAAUAAAAAUUACCAAUCAGGUGAAGAGGCCUGAAUAAAAUAAAAAGACAAAAAGACCCUAUGGAGCUUUAUUUAAAUCCCUAAUCACACCAGCCCUACACCACCCCACCUUAGGCAAAUAAAUUUAGUUGGGGCGACUAAGGAAAACCAUAAAUCUUCCUCCCUAAAAAGAAAAUAAAUCCCGAUUGAUCCGUUAUACGAAUAUAGACACAGCUACCCUAGGGAUAACAGGCUAAUUCUUCUCGAGAGCCCAAAUUGACAGAAGAGAUUGGCACCUCGAUGUUGGCUUAGGGUUUCUAUAAGAUGCAGAAGUCUUAUAAGUGGGUUUGUUCAACCCUUAAAACCCU